rnacentral:rRNA from 1 species
AGAGUUUGAUCCUGGCUCAGAACGAACGCUGGCGGCAUGCCUAACACAUGCAAGUCGAACGGGAUCCAGGCUUCGGUCUGGUGAGAGUGGCGAACGGGUGAGUAACGCGUGGGAACCUGCCCAGAGGUACGGAAUAACAGUUGGAAACGACUGCUAAUACCGUAUGAGCCCGAGAGGGGAAAGAUUUAUCGCCUUUGGAGGGGCCCGCGUCAGAUUAGGUAGUUGGUGGGGUAAAGGCCUACCAAGCCUUCGAUCUGUAGCUGGUCUGAGAGGAUGAUCAGCCACACUGGGACUGAGAUACGGCCCAGACUCCUACGGGAGGCAGCAGUGGGGAAUAUUGGACAAUGGGGGCAACCCUGAUCCAGCAAUGCCGCGUGAGUGAUGAAGGCCUUCGGGUUGUAAAGCUCUUUUGCCAGGGACGAUGAUGACGGUACCUGGAGAAUAAGCCCCGGCUAACUUCGUGCCAGCAGCCGCGGUAAUACGAAGGGGGCUAGCGUUGUUCGGAAUUACUGGGCGUAAAGGGCGCGUAGGCGGUUUGACCAGUCAGGUGUGAAAUUCCCGGGCUUAACCUGGGGGCUGCACUUGAUACUGUCAGGCUUGAAUUCGGGAGAGGAUAGUGGAAUUCCCAGUGUAGAGGUGAAAUUCGUAGAUAUUGGGAAGAACACCAGUGGCGAAGGCGACUAUCUGGACCGACAUUGACGCUGAGGCGCGAAAGCGUGGGGAGCAAACAGGAUUAGAUACCCUAGUAGUCC